rnacentral:snRNA from 1 species
ACUUCCAUGAUGAGCAUAUACUAAAAUUGGUACAAUACAAAGAAGAUUAGCAUGACCCCUGUACAAGGACGACACGUAAAUUCGUGGAGCGUUUCGAAUUUUU